AUUGAACGCUGGCGGAAUGCUUUACACAUGCAAGUCGCACGGCAGCACGGGGGCAACCCUGGUGGCGAGUGGCGAACGGGUGAGUAAUACAUCGGAACGUGCCCAGUCGUGGGGGAUAACGUAGCGAAAGUUACGCUAACACCGCAUACGAUCUACGGAUGAAAGCGGGGGACCGUAAGGCCUCGCGAGAUUAGAGCGGCCGAUGUCAGAUUAGGUAGUUGGUGAGGUAAAGGCUCACCAAGCCGACGAUCUGUAGCGGGUCUGAGAGGACGACCAGCCACACUGGGACUGAGACACGGCCCAGACUCCUACGGGAGGCAGCAGUGGGGAAUUUUGGACAAUGGGCGCAAGCCUGAUCCAGCCAUUCCGCGUGCAGGACGAAGGCCUUCGGGUUGUAGACUGCUUUUGUACGGAACGAAAAGGCUCUGGUUAAUACCUGGGGCUCAUGACGGUACCGUAAGAAUAAGCACCGGCUAACUACGUGCCAGCCGCCGCAGUAA
rnacentral:rRNA from 1 species